CUACUUAACCUUUAAUUUUGAAAUGAACAACCUCCAUUACCUUUUUAUAACUUUGCAGGUGGAGUGCUGCAUCUAAAAUUAUAAUCAGAAAUCAAAUUAAAUCAACCCCAACCUUUGCAUUAUGAAGUAAAGAUGAACUCUAGUAAACCUAAUGAAAGGUUAUUGCGUCGGUAAUAUUUGUGAUGAGGACACACGUGACUUUUGUGUAUUUGGUGUUUUCCAGGUGCAGAAGGUGUCCAGUCAGAAUGCAGUGUUUUCUAGUCUGAUCCCAGGGACACGCUUCCAUUUUGUAGUACGAACAGAGAAGGAGUCCUUCACAGACAGUUACCCAGUAACCAUUAACAUCACCGCCGCUCCCAGCCCAGUGGAGGUGUCUCUUCUCAAUAAAACCACAUCAUCCAUAUGUAUUGCUUGGAAUAUGAUCAGGGGUGUGGUGAGCGGAUUUAUCUUGUCAAUCACAAAUGCAACAUCCAGUGAGGAGCUGAUCAUUUCUCAGGAGGGGCACAGGUCGGUCUGUCCUACCUUUAUUCCAUUUUAUAAGAAUUGCUCUGAAGAAUACUUAAAAUGUGUGUGUGUGCACCUGUGUCUGUGUCUGUGUGUUCACAGAAAUUACAGUUUUGAAGGCCUUGCCCCUGGAAGCCAAUACACAAUUAAAGUGAUCAGCAUCAGCGGGGAAAAACGUAGUAAACCUUCUGACAUUAUCCUCCAUACUAGUACGUUGAAUAUGUACUGUGAGUCACAUGUGCGCAUAGAUAAUAGAUAUCCUUGACAACAGACAUCACUGAUAAAGGGAAACAUGAUUUUUCAGCUGUUCCAGUCUCGGCUUAGUUUCUGUCAUACAGGGUUGGUGGCUCAAAACAAUCCCUUGAACGUCUCCAUCAUAAUAUUAAUACCUGUUUGUCAUGUAGUUCCAGAGGUGCCGCAGGAAGUGGUUCUUUCAGGGCAGGUCGUCACAUCUGUGUUUGUCACCUGGAGACCGCCACCAGGAGGAGUGAAGGGGUACAAGGUGAGACACGAUCUACGCAGCUCCGAACGUGUUAAUACAGGAAUUCUAAUAGUAAUUUAGAGACAUUCAUGGAUGCUUCAUAUUUUGUCAUA
rnacentral:lncRNA from 1 species